rnacentral:rRNA from 1 species
UGAUGACUCUGGAUAACUUCACUGAUCGCAGUCGGCCUUGCGCCGGCGACGGAUCUUUCAAAUGUCUGCCCUAUCAAUUUUCGAUGGUAGGUGAUCUGCCUACCAUGGUUCUAACGGGUAACGGGGAAUCGGGGUUCGAUUCCGGAGAGGGAGCCUGAGAAACGGCUACCACUUCCAAGGAAGGCAGCAGGCACGCAAAUUACCCAAUCCCGGCACGGGGAGGUAGUGACGAAAAAUACGGAUACGGGACUCGAUAGAGGCUCCGUAAUUCGAAUGAGUACAAUUUAAAUCCUUUAACGAGGAUCAACUGGAGGGCAAGUCUGGUGCCAGCAGCCGCGGUAACUCCAGCUCCAGAAGCGUAUAUUAAAGUUGUUGCAGUUAAAAAGCUCGUAGUUGGAUCUGGGUCGCAUGGCUACAUGCCGUCGCUUGUGAACUUGUCCUGGUAACUGCUGGGGCAGGCUCGCGAGUCGG